CUGUUCUUGCAAAGAUUCCACUAAAUCACUAAAUAUUUUAUGUUUGACAGGUAAAGUGAGAUGUUGCAUAACGCCUAUUUUUAAAGAAAUGUACUCAGCCCAUCGCCCUGCGUCAAUGAAAAAUUCUGCAUUUCUUGGGCUUGGGAAGUGUAAUGCAGAGGGGAACAUAAAUUGAAAUUCUUCUUUCGGUAUGAGAAAUGCAUGGAAAUUAAGUAAUGGCAUUCUACUCGUCUGAGUCUGUGAGCGAGGACUGCCGCCUUGUCCUGCCAGCCAGCCAGCCGUUUGCUGCACACAGUGGGG